rnacentral:rRNA from 1 species
CCCCCCGGGGGGAUUAGCAUAUCAAUAAGCGGAGGAAAAGAAACUAACAAGGAUUCCCCUAGUAACUGCGAGUGAAGCGGGAAAAGCUCAAAUUUAAAAUCUGGCGGUCUUUGGCCGUCCGAGUUGUAGUCUGGAGAAGUGCUUUCCGCGCUGGACCGUGUAUAAGUCUCUUGGAACAGAGCGUCAUAGAGGGUGAGAAUCCCGUCUUUGACACGGACUACCAGUGCUUUGUGAUGCGCUCUCAAAGAGUCGAGUUGUUUGGGAAUGCAGCUCAAAAUGGGUGGUGAAUUCCAUCUAAAGCUAAAUAUUGGCGAGAGACCGAUAGCGAACAAGUACCGUGAGGGAAAGAUGAAAAGCACUUUGGAAAGAGAGUUAAACAGUACGUGAAAUUGCUGAAAGGGAAACGCUUGAAGUCAGUCGCGUUGUCCGGAACUCAGCCUUGCUUUUGCUUGGUGCACUUUCCGGAUGACGGGUCAGCAUCGAUUUUGACCGUCGGAAAAGGGCUGGAGUAAUGUGGCACCUCCGGGUGUGUUAUAGACUCUGGUCGCAUACGGCGGUUGGGAUCGAGGAACGCAGCGCGCCGCAAGGCAGGGGUUCGCCCACUUUCGCGCUUAGGAUGCUGGCAUAAUGGCUUUAAACGACCCGUCUUGAAACACGGACCAAGGAGUCUAACAUACCUGCGAGUGUUUGGGUGGAAAACCCGAGCGCGUAAUGAAAGUGAAAGUUGAGAUCCCUGUCGUGGGGAGCAUCGACGCCCGGACCAGACGUUCUCUGACGGAUCCGCGGUAGAGCAUGUAUGUUGGGACCCGAAAGAUGGUGAACUAUGCCUGAAUAGGGUGAAGCCAGAGGAAACUCUGGUGGAGGCUCGUAGCGAUUCUGACGUGCAAAUCGAUCGUCAAAUUUGGGUAUAGGGGCGAAAGACUAAUCGAACCAUCUAGUAGCUGGUUCCUGCCGAAUCUCCUCCCUAGGAUAAAUC